rnacentral:rRNA from 1 species
UCAAAACGACUCUCGGCAACGGAUAUCUCGGCUCUCGCAUCGAUGAAGAACGUAGCGAAAUGCGAUACUUGGUGUGAAUUGCAGAAUCCCGUGAACCAUCGAGUCUUUGAACGCAAGUUGCGCCCGAAGCCAUACGGCCGAGGGCACGUCUGCCUGGGUGUCACACACG